UACAGAGGUCCCGAGCGUUGUUCGGAUUCAUUGGGCGUAAAGGGUGCGUAGGCGGCGGGGCCAGUCUGAUGUGAAAUCCCGGGGCUCAACCCCGGAACUGCAUUGGAUACUGCCCUGCUAGAGUACUGGAGAGGGAACUGGAAUUUACGGUGUAGCAGUGAAAUGCGUAGAGAUCGUAAGGAAGGCCAGUGGCGAAGGCGAGUUCCUGGACAGUGACUGACGCUGAGGCACGAAGGCCAGGGGAGCAAACGGG
rnacentral:rRNA from 1 species